rnacentral:sRNA from 1 species
UUUUAGCCCUGAUGGUAGCGGCAUCCUUUAUGUUUUUUCUUUAAAAACAUAAAGAUAUAGCGUACAGCAGGAAAUAGC